GACGAACGCUGGCGGCGUGCUUAACACAUGCAAGUCGAACGGAAAGGCCCUGCUUUUGUGGGGUGCUCGAGUGGCGAACGGGUGAGUAACACGUGAGCAACCUGCCCUUGACUUUGGGAUAACUUCAGGAAACUGGGGCUAAUACCGGAUAGGAGCUCCUGCUGCAUGGUGGGGGUUGGAAAGUUUCGGCGGUUGGGGAUGGACUCGCGGCUUAUCAGCUUGUUGGUGGGGUAGUGGCUUACCAAGGCUUUGACGGGUAGCCGGCCUGAGAGGGUGACCGGCCACAUUGGGACUGAGAUACGGCCCAGACUCCUACGGGAGGCAGCAGUGGGGAAUAUUGCACAAUGGGCGGAAGCCUGAUGCAGCAACGCCGCGUGCGGGAUGACGGCCUUCGGGUUGUAAACCGCUUUCGCCUGUGACGAAGCGUGAGUGACGGUAAUGGGUAAAGAAGCACCGGCUAACUACGUGCCAUCAGCCGCGGUGAUACGUAGGGCGCGAGCGUUGUCCGGAUUCAUUGGGCGUAAAGGGCUCGUAGGUGGUUGAUCGCGUCGGAAGUGUAAUCUUGGGGCUUAACCCUGAGCGUGCUUUCGAUACGGGUUGACUUGAGGAAGGUAGGGGAGAAUGGAAUUCCUGGUGGAGCGGUGGAAUGCGCAGAUAUCAGGAGGAACACCAGUGGCGAAGGCGGUUCUCUGGGCCUUUCCUGACGCUGAGGAGCGAAAGCGUGGGGAGCGAACAGGCUUAGAUACCCUGGUAGUCCACGCUGUAAACGGUGGGUACUAGGUGUGGGGUCCAUUCCACGGGUUCCGUGCCGUAGCUAACGCUUUAAGUACCCCGCCUGGGGAGUACGGCCGCAAGGCUAAAACUCAAAGGAAUUGACGGGGCCCCGCACAAGCGGCGGAGCAUGCGGAUUAAUUCGAUGCAACGCGUAGAACCUUACCUGGGUUUGACAUGGAUCGGGAGUGCUCAGAGAUGGGUGUGCCUCUUUUGGGGUCGGUUCACAGGUGGUGCAUGCCUGUCGUCAGCUCGUGUCGUGAGAUGUUGGGUUAAGUCCCGCAACGAGCGCAACCCUUGUUCACUGUUGCCAGCACGUUAUGGUGGGGACUCAGUGGAGACCGCCGGGGUCAACUCGGAGGAAGGUGGGGAUGACGUCAAGUCCUCAUGCCCCUUAUGUCCAGGGCUUCACGCAUGCUACAAUGGCUGGUACAGAGAGUGGCGAGCCUGUGAGGGUGAGCGAAUCUCGGAAAGCCGGUCUCAGUUCGGAUUGGGGUCUGCAACUCGACCUCAUGAAGUCGGAGUCGCUAGUAAUCGCAGAUCAGCAACGCUGCGGUGAAUACGUUCCCGGG
rnacentral:rRNA from 1 species